CCCUUAGAUGUUCUGGGCUGCACGCGCGCUACACUGACGCACGCAACAGGUGCCUGCUCCGAGAGGACUGGGUAAUCAUUUGAGUGUGCGUCGUGAUGGGGAUAGAAUUUUGUAAUUAUUACUCUUCAACGAGGAAUUCCUAGUAAGCGCCAGUCAGCAGCUUGCGCUGAUUACGUCCCUGCCCUUUGUACACACCGCCCGUCGCUCCUACCGAUGGGUGAUCCGGUGAAUGAUUCGGACUUCAGCGGCUCCCCUGGGGUGCGCCGGAGAAAGUUUUGUGAACCUUAUCACUUGGAGGAAGGAGAAGUCGUAACA
rnacentral:rRNA from 1 species